CCCUUAGAUGUUCUGGGCCGCACGCGCGCUACACUGAUAAUGUCAACAAGCUUUACCUUGGCCGAUAGGUCUGGGCAAUCUUCGAACUAUUAUCGUGAUGGGGCUAGAUUAUUGCAACUAUUAAUCUUAAACGAGGAAUUCCUAGUAAGCGCGAGUCAUCAGCUCGCGUUGAUUACGUCCCUGCCCUUUGUACACACCGCCCGUCGCUCCUACCGAUUGGAUUGGCCGGUGAAGCGUUCGGAUUGUGGGUUCGGAGCGGUUCGCCGUUCUGGGCUUGCGAGAAGUUCGUUAAACCCUCCUAUCUAGAGGAAGGAGAAGUCGUAACA
rnacentral:rRNA from 1 species